UACGACUACAUAUCAGGCAUAUCAAUAAGCGGAGGAAAAGAAACUAACAAGGAUUCCCUUAGUAACGGCGAGUGAAGCGGGAAGAGCUCAAAUUUGAAAUCUUCAAGGUUUUACCUUGACGAAUUGUAGUUUAAAGAAGUGUUUUCUGUUGGUGUUUCGGUAAAAGUUCUUUGGAAUAGGACAUCAUAGAGGGUGAGAAUCCCGUAUUUGACCAUUACUUCCAGCGUUGUGAUACACUUUCAAAGAGUCGGAUUGUUUGGGAAUGCAGUCCAAAAUGGGUGGUAAAUUUCAUCUAAAGCUAAAUAUUGGCGAGAGACCGAUAGCGAACAAGUACCGUGAGGGAAAGAUGAAAAGAACUUUGAAAAGAGAGUUAAACAGUACGUGAAAUUGUCAAAAGGGAAGCGUUUGACACCAGUGUUGUUUUCUCGAAAAUCAAUUAAAAAUGAUGGAUUUUGUGUUGUAUUGACUUUAUCAGCUUUCUGCACUCUUUUCUUAGUCUUUUUUAAUGCACUUUUCGUUUAACAAGUCAACAUCAAUUUCUUUUGUUGUAAAAGAGUCAUUGGAAGGUGGCUUUUUCUUCGGAAAAAGUGUUUAUAGCCUUUGGCUUCUGCAAUCGGAGAGAUUGAGGUCUGCAGCGUAGAUCCUUCGGGGUUAGAUACAUUUGUGCUAAGCUAUAGUUCUUUAUAGACAACUUGUUGACUAUAAUCAAUCCUGUAACUUACUCGCUUAUGCUAUUUUACCUACGCUUAGGAUGUUGAAUCUGUGCGAGACUA
rnacentral:rRNA from 1 species